rnacentral:rRNA from 1 species
GUGGGGAAUCUUGUGCAAUGGGCGAAAGCCUGACGCAGCAACGCCGCGUGGGGGAUGAAGGCUCUCGGGUUGUAAACCCCUUUCAGCAGGGACGAAUCAAGACGGUACCUGCAGAAGAAGCCCCGGCUAACUACGUGCCAGCAGCCGCGGUAACACGUAGGGGGCAAGCGUUGUCCGGAUUUAUUGGGCGUAAAGAGCUCGUAGGUGGCUGAGUAAGUCGGAUGUCAAAUCCCCAGGCUCAACCUGGGAUCCCAUCCGAUACUGCUCUGGCUAGAGUCCGGUAGGGGAGCGUGGAAUUCCUGGUGUAGCGGUGAAAUGCGCAGAUAUCAGGAGGAACACCAGCGGCGAAGGCGGCGCUCUGGGCCGGUACUGACACUGAGGAGCGAAAGCGUGGGUAGCAAACAGGAUUAGAAACCCCUGUAGUCC